ensembl:misc_RNA Metazoa_SRP Metazoan signal recognition particle RNA
GCCGGGCGUGGUGGCGCGUGCCUGUAAUCCCAGCUACUUGGGAGGCUGAGGCAGGAGAAUGACUUGAACCCAGGAGGCAGAGGUGGCAGUGAGCCGAAAUCGUGCCACUGCACUCCAGCCUGGGUGACAGAGUGAGAGUCUGUCUCAA